rnacentral:misc_RNA from 1 species
GAUGAAGAACGUAGCGAAAUGCGAUAAGUAAUGUGAAUUGCAGAAUUCAGUGAAUCAUCGAAUCUUUGAACGCACCUUGCGCCCUUUGGCCAUUCCGAAGGGCAUGCCUGUUUGAGUAUCAUGAACACCUCAACUCUUCAUGGUUUUCCAUGAUGAGCUUGGACUUUGGGGGUCUUGCUGGCCUGUGGGUCGGCUCCUCUCAAAUGAAUCAGCUUGCCGGUUUUUGGUGGGCAUCACAGGUGUGAUAACUAUCUACGCUUGUGGUUUUCCACCAGGGUAACCUUCAGCAGUGGAGGUUCACUGGAGCUUACAAAUGUCUCUCCUCUGUGAGGACAGCCCUUUGAAUGUUUGAUCUCAAGUCAGGUAGGACUACCCGCUGAACUUAAGCAUAUCAAUAAGCGGAGGA